AGAGUUUGAUCCUGGCUCAGGACGAACGCUGGCGGCGCGCUUAGCACAUGCAAGUCGAACGGAGCGAUACGGAUGAAGCCUUCGGGCAGAUUCUGUUGAACUUAGUGGCGAACGGGUGAGUAACGCGUGAGCAACCGGUCCCAAAGAGGGGGACAACUUUGAGAAAUCAAGGCUAAUACCGCGUAAGACCACACUGCCGCAUGGCAGAGGGGUCAAAGGAGAGAUCCGCUUUGGGGAGGGCUCGCGUCUGAUUAGGCAGUUGGUGAGGUAACGGCUCACCAAACCGACGAUCAGUAGCCGUGCUGAGAGGCAGGCCGGCCACACUGGAACUGAGACACGGUCCAGACUCCUACGGGAGGCAGCAGUGGGGAAUCUUGGGCAAUGGGCGAAAGCCUGACCCAGCGACGCCGCGUGGAGGAAGAAGGUCUUCGGAUUGUAAACUCUUGUGACAGGGGACGAAGAAAAUGACGGUACCCUGAGAGGAAGCCCCGGCUAACUACGUGCCAGCAGCCGCGGUAAUACGUAGGGGGCGAGCGUUGUCCGGAAUUACUGGGCGUAAAGGGCGCGUAGGCGGUCCAUUAAGUCUGUUGUGAAAUCCCGAGGCCUAACUUCGGAAGUGCAAUGGAAACUGGCGGACUUGAGUACGGCAGAGGCAAGUGGAAUUCCCAGUGUAGCGGUGAAAUGCACAGAGAUUGGGAGGAACACCAGUGGCGAAGGCGACUUGCUGGGCCGAAACUGACGCUGAGGCGCGAAAGCGUGGGGAGCAAACAGGAUUAGAUACCCUGGUAGUCCCGACCUUAAACGGUGCACACUCGGGGUGGGGCCAUUUCACCGGUCCCGUCCCUUAGCUAACGCGUUAAGUGUGCCGCCUGGGGAGUACGGCCGCAAGGCUAAAACUCAAAGAAAUUGACGGGGGCCCGCACAAGCAGAGGAGCAUGUGGCUUAAUUCGAUGCAACGCGAAGAACCUUACCUGGAUUUGACAUCGUGGGCAAAGGCCUAUGAAAGUAGGCUGGAGGUUAUCCCAUAGACAGGUGCUGCAUGGCUGUCGUCAGUUCGUGCCGUGAGGUGUUUGGUUAAGUCCACCAACGAACGCAACCCCUUUGGUAUGUUGCCAUCAGGUAACGCUGGGAACUCGUACCAUACUGCCUGUUUACGCAGGAGGAAGGUGGGGAUGACGUCAAGUCAGUAUGGCCCUUACAUCCAGGGCUGCACACGUGCUACAAUGGCCGGUACAGAGGGACGCGAGACCGCAAGGUGGAGCCAAUCCCAGAGAGCCGGCCCCAGUUCAGAUCGGGGUCUGCAACCCGACCCCGUGAAGUCGGAUUUGCUAGUAACGGCGUAUCAGCUACGACGCCGUGAAUGCGUUCCCGGGCCUUGCACACACCGCCCGUCA
rnacentral:rRNA from 1 species